rnacentral:rRNA from 1 species
GACGUAGGGCGCGAGCGUUGUCCGGAUUUAUUGGGCGUAAAGAGCUCGUAGGCGGCUUGUCGCGUCGACUGUGAAAACCCGUGGCUCAACCAUGUGGUCUGCAGUCGAUACGGGCAGGCUAGAAUUCGGUAGGGGAGACUGGAAUUCCUGGUGUAGCGGUGAAAUGCGCAGAUAUCAGGAGGAACACCGGUGGCGAAGGCGGGUCUCUGGGCCGAUAUUGGCGCUGAGGAGCGAAAGCGUGGGGAGCGAACAGG